GGGGAAAUGAAGAAAGGUCUUUUCGGGGUAAUGCACUAUCUAAUGCCUAAGCGCCAAAUUCUCUCUCUACACUCUGGCUGCAAUAUGGGAAAAGAAGGAGAUGUAGCCCUCUUCUUUGGAUUAUCAGGAACUGGGAAGACAACACUGUCUACUGAUCACAACCGGUACCUGAUCGGAGAUGAUGAACACUGCUGGAGUGAUCAUGGUGUCUCAAACAUUGAAGGAGGUUGCUAU
rnacentral:misc_RNA from 1 species